rnacentral:pre_miRNA from 13 species
UGUGCUGCAGCUGGUGUUGUGAAUCAGGCCGAUGCCACACGUCCGCGAUAACCCGGCUAUUUCACAACACCAGGGUGGCCCCA